rnacentral:rRNA from 1 species
CGUAGGGAGCGAGGCGUUGUCCGAAGUUACUGGGCGUAAAGCGCGCGUAGGCGGGCUAUUAAGUGAGAAGGUGAAAGGCUGGGGCUCAACCUCAUGCAGUGCCUCUCAUACUGGUAGUCUUGAGGGCGGUAGAGAGAAGUGGAAUGGCUGGUGUAGCGGUGAAAUGCGUAGAUAUCAGUCGGAACACCGGUGGCGAAGGCGGCUUCUUGGGCCGUUCCUGACGCUGAUGCGCGAAAGCCAGGGGAGCGAACGGGAUUAGAUACCCCGGUAGUCCUGGCCGUAAACGAUGGAUACUAGGUGUCGGGGGUAUCGACCCCUCCCGGUGCCGCAGCUAACGCAAUAAGUAUCCCGCCGUGGGGGAGUACGGCCGCAAGGUUG